rnacentral:ncRNA from 1 species
UCACGAUAAGGGCAAACCCUGAGUGAUCAGGGGACGCAAAGGAAAGGGUCUUUCAGCGCACAGGGAAGUGUGAGGGGAUCAGAAAAGUCCUUUGGAAUAAUUUAGGGAAGUAGUUGAGAAAGAUAGCCUUACUGCCGGA